GUCUACAGCCAUGCCACCCUGAACAAGCCCAAUCCCGUCGGCUUGUUAGUAGGGUCGGGCUUGGUUCGUAUUUGGAUGGGAGACCACUGAGGAAGACCAGGUACUGUAGGCG
rnacentral:rRNA from 1 species